rnacentral:rRNA from 1 species
GACGAACGCUGACAGAAUGCUUAACACAUGCAGUCACUGAUUGUGGCGGACGGGUGAGUAACGCGUAAAGAACUUGCCUCACAGCUAGGGACAACAUUUAGAAAUGAAUGCUAAUACCUGACACUGUGAGAGAGCUUUGCGUCCCAUUAGCUAGUUGGAGAGGUAACAGCUCACCAAGGCGAUGAUGGGUAGCCGGCCUGAGAGGGUGAACGGCGACAAUGGGAAUGAGACACGGCCCUUACUCCUACGGGUGGCAGCAGUGGGGAAUAUUGUAGAACGGACCGAAGUCUGAUCCAGCAAUUCUGUGUGAACGAUGAAGUUUUCGGAAUGUAAAGUGCUUUCAGUUGGGAAGCGGUACCAACAGAAGAAGUGACGGCUAAAUACGUGCCAGCAGCCGCGGUAAUAC